rnacentral:lncRNA from 1 species
CCUCAGGAGAGGGCGGAGCUUUGGAGUGAGAUCCAGGAGGUCAAACCCCCAAAAGAAAACUAGGAGCCUAAAUAAGGAUCAGGACCAAGGGAAGGGGUAAGAAACUGCUCUUUCUAAAAGACGAGAAUUAGGUGCAAAAUAGAAGUCCCUUCUGGGUGGCUAAACCAAGCUUCGCUAAACUAGUUUGUGUGUGUGGAGGCGAGGUGGUGGGGGGGGGGCGGGGUCCCCCUGGGAUGGAGAAUCCUGUGUCAAGAAAUAGAGUAACAUUGGUGCCUUUUAAGGAAACUCCUUCUUCUGUGGCGAAGAGAGUAUAGGACUAGCGUUAGAGUCCUGGCUCUCCCCGAUGUAAGUGACCUUACUCCAAUCAUUGGAUAUCUUUGGGGUUCAAAUAAAAUGCUCGCUUUUCAAAUAAGGACAAUGAUAUUUUCCUUGCCUUACUUCAGAGGAUCAAAUGAGAUAAAGGAUGGUAAUAGUGCACAGUCUACAAAUUGCAAUGUAAGGUUCUGUAUUUUUAUUUUAGGGACAACAUUGAUUCUAACUUACCAAGACAGUUUUGAGAGAUCAGAACUUAUUUUGAGAACAGCAUUGCUCUCUUGGAUUACAAAAGAUCCUCAGUUUGAGGUCUAAAAUAAAAUACUAAAAAGGAGAGGGUCAACCAGAUUCGGUGGAAAAAGCAUAAAUCUAGGGGUCAGAUUAUUUUCCUGGUUCUGCCAUUGGUUUAUCUGCAUCACAUGGUCCUGUUUCUUCUAUGUUAAGGUAAAGAUGGAUUGUACUAAGUGACUCUAUAAGGUCUCUCUUGUUUUUCUAUUUUAUUAUUUUAUGAAGGUAAAAAAAAAAAGAGGGUGGGGGGUGAGAGACUUAUUUCCUUUUUAUCUGCCUGAUCUCUCUUCUUUCUCUGCCUCUCUCCUUCUACAAAUCAUCCCAUAAAUUCCUUAGUCAAGACACCAACAAACAAUAAAGUUUAAUGAAACACAAGUGCUGAAAAUGAAUGCUUUCAAAACUUGUAGCCCUUACCCAAGUGCAAUGACCAGAGUUCUUGGGAGCUAUGGUGGUAGAGUGGAAAGAGAGACUGGAUUAAAGUUCUCCUGAGUCCUAGUUACAGGUUCUUUGCUGGUAACACCUUUUUAAAAAUUCAAUGCUUUCUUAAGUUUCCCUUUUCUUCUGUCCUUAGUCCUUCCUCCCUCCAUAUUGUUCAUUUAAUGAAGACUCAAGAUAGGUGCUAGCUUUUAGGUUCUGCAAAGGCCCACAGAAUGAAUAAUUUGGUCAUAAUUAUUCAGAUUAAUCUUCAAAGUAUCUUUUUAUGAAAACCAACAGGCAAAUCCAUUGAUUUCAAGUUUCAAAUUUUUCAAAAGAAAAUUUAAAAAGGAAUUGGAUUAAACAAGUUGAGAAUGCACUCAAAUUUGCUGCAGAAGUGCUAGAUAUUUUUAGAUGAAAUAUGAAUCCUUAAUAAGUAAUUACUUAUAUGGUUAUUUUUCCUUUUUGGAGACAAACUAAGUUAAUGGAAUUGGCAGUUGAGCCAUAACUGUCUAUGUAAUGAAGUAAUUUCACUAUUUUGAAAUAAAGUUAAUAAAAUAGAGAAUACUUCAUGAUUAUGUGAGGUUGAGAAUUUGGAAAAUUAUUGAUAUUAAGAUUUAUGUAAAACAGCCUAAUGAGUAUGAAAUCUGUCUGUAUGUCAGGAGUGACUAAUAAAGAAUGUACUUUCCAUCUGUAUGACAUUAUAGUUUUCAAAACAUGUUCACCUGCAUCUUGUCACUGUAUCCUCACAAAACACUCUUUAUUUUGGAGGACAAUUGUUAUUCUUUUUGCAUUAUAGUUGAAGAAACAGAUUGAGAAACAUUAAGAUUAAGCAGUUAGAAGCUCUGCCCCUCUUACCAUUCUGCCAAAAAGUCCUAAUUUCUGACACCUUUGAGAAAAGAAGAAAAUAUUCACUUCAUAAAUAGAGUAUCAGAUAUAAUGUUUUAUUCUUGUUUGUAGUUUACUUGCAAGAUAUUUUUAUCUCUUCAGUUUUAAACAAGCCAUUCCCAUGGUCAUGAACGUAUGCUUCUCAUAUGCAUUAAACAAACUUUUCAUUUCAUCAAUAAGCAUGAAAAGCCUUAAAAAUAUGUGUAUCUAUGGCCAGAAAUUGUGCUUUUUGGAAUGUAAGCCUAGAAAAAGGAAUGUUAAUGAAUUUUGUUUUACAGUGCUACUUAGAAAAUCAAAGAGUCACAUCAAUUUGAACACCCCUCUAAAAGAGAGCAUUACCUAAAUUAGUAAACAGUUGUAAUAUUUUGCAACAAUUUAAAAAUUGUAUUUUGAAAUUGAGUAAAUGGUAUGAGAAAUAUUCCAUAACAAAAUGUUAAGUAAAAACAGUAAAUACCAAAUUGUAUAUAUAGUAUUAUUCCAAUUCUGUAAUAAUAAUGAAUUUCAUAUAAAAUUAUAUUAUAUAGAAACAAUUCCAGAAAGAGGAUAUACACCACUUGAUAAUAGUGGCUGUCUCUAAGCAAUGAGAUUAUGAGUGAUUACAUUUUUUUGCAUGUUAUCAAUAGUGAACAUAUUUAACAUAAUAAGAAAAAAGUUUUCCUUUUUUCUUUUUAUAAUUAUACAUAAUAGUGAGAUUCAUUAUUACAUAUUUGUAUGUGUACACAAUAGAAAAAUGUAAGUUGGUCAGUUUCAUUCCCCAGCACCUCCCCAUUUUCUCCCCUCCUCCCUUCCCUUGCUCCUCUUGCUCUACUCUACUGGUCUCUCUUCUGUUUUCAUGAGGUUCCUCUCUUCCCCAACCUUUUUUCUCUCUGGCUUCCACAUAUGAGAGAAAACAUACCAUCCUUGACUUUCUGAGUUUGGAUUAUUUCACUUAACAUAAUGUUUUUAAGUUCCAUCUAUUUUCCUGCAAAUGAUAAAUUUUAUUCUUCUUUAUGGCUGAAUAAAACUCCACUCUGUAUAUAAACUACAUUUUCUUUAUUCAUUCAUCUAAUGAUGGACACCAAGGCAGGUUCCAUAGUUUGACUAUUGUGAGUUGUGCAGCUAUAAUCAUGGAUAUGCCUGUAUUUCUAUAGUAUGCUGACUUUUGCUCUUUAGAAUAAAUACCAAGGAGUGGUCUAGCUGUGUCAUAUGUUGAUUACUACAAUAAGGGAAAAAAAUAUGUUUCUCAGCAUAUAUUGUUCCCUAAGACUGACUCAAUUAAAGACUUUUUAUCAUCUAAAUGAAUUUUAUUGAUUUAUGUUAAAAAAUGGACAGCAGAGGGCAUAAGAGAGUUUUCAGAAAAAAAUAUAAACAAAAGAAAAGAUUAUUUCUGUUUAAGUGAAGGAAGUCAUAAGAAUUAAACUUUCUGAAUUAUAAACUACUUUAAAGAAAUCUAUCUUAUGAUUUUCUAUUAUUCUAAUAAAAUAUCAAUACUCAAAAACCUGAAGUAAUGGUACUGAGAAGCAUUUAAUGAAUAUAUAAUAGACCCUUUUGAAAUCUGUAUGUGAAACUAUAAAUAGAGACACUCUUAUUUCUUCCUUUAUAAUCUGUAUGGCUUGUAUUUCAAUUCUAGUGCUAUCACACUGGCUAAGACUGCCACUACAAUACUGAACUGUAACAGUGAAAGUAGAAAUCAUGGUCUCCUUUGCAAUCAUAUGGGGGAGACAUUUGGUAUUUCAACAACUGUGUCCUGUAGACUUAAUAGAUGUCCUUUGUCAGGUUAGGGAAGUUUCAGUCCUAAUUUUCUCAGACUUUCUACCAUGAAUGAACAUUUUGCAUCUUGUCAAAUGCUUUUUCUGCUUCUAUUAAAAUGGUCCUAUAGUUUUUCUUUUUAAAAUUAUUGAUAUUGUGUAUUAAAUGAUUGAUUUUUCAAAUAUUGAACCACUUUUUGUUUGUUGCAUUAAUUUUAUUUGGUCAUCUUAUAUUCUCCUUUCUAUAAAAAUUGCUAUAUUCAACUUGUUUAAAUUUUGUGAGAAUUUUUUAUUUGGUAUUCCUGAGAUAUUGAUUAGAAAUUUUUUAAUGACUUUUUCUGAUUGGGUAUCAGUGUAAAAUUAUGAGUUUUAUUUAUUCAGCUUUCUUUACCUGAAGUUUUCAAUUUGUAAAUCUUCAGUUUUUCCUCACUUCUUCCAGUCUUUACUUUUGGAUGUAUAUUAGAAUUGUUCCUUCUAUCAUUCAUGUGCCUUACUGUGUUCAAAUGACACGUGCUUUUUCAUUUUCUGGAUGAUGUCCUCAAAUCUAUAUUCUAAUUCACUAAUUCUUUCCUAAUCUUUGCUAAUCCAGUGUUUAAUACCUGCACUGAAUUGUCAUCCCAUUGGCUAUAUUUCAUUUUUAGAAAAUUUACUUUUUUUAAACAAAUCUACUUUCUCUUAUUUUAAACUGACCUAUUUAUAUAUUGUAGUUUCUUUAUCUCACCUUUCCUCUUUAACUAUUUUAAACUUAUUUAAAAUUUUUCUGUUAUAUCUGUUUCAGGGUCACUAUUUCUCUUUUGUUGCAAUAAGCAAACUCCUUAUGGUGGCUUAUUUUCUAUAGUGGCUUGUAUUUUUUUAUUCUUAGCUCCACUUGAGUGGGAAUUCUCCUUGUGAAAAUCCUUUAAAUUCCAGAUUAUGAUAGCAUUCCUCCAGAACAACUUUGAAUUUCCUUUGUUUAGAUCCUUACCAACUUUAGUGGUCAUGGGGCCAGGUUUUCAAUUUUAAUUUAUUUUGUUUUUGCUUCAUAUCUUUUAUGUAAAGCAAUUCAUUCAUGUAGAAGAAUGCAUAUAAAAUAUGAAUAAGGAAUAGCAAAAAGAAUAUCUCUGGCCCAAACACCCACAGAAUUAAGACUUGACCAAUGAGUUUCUUUUUUCCUUAUUUUUUUUUUCUUCCUUUAACUGCUGGCUUUUACUUCAACAUGGGCUGAACUGAAAAGUCUGUAGAAGGGGCUUCUACAACACAGAGUGGGGAAAUUCCUGUUUGUUUUGUUCUGUUGGCUCUGCUCCAAGCAUAUUUGUACUGCUGCUGACAGGCCAUGAGUAUAUUUAUGAAUAGGAAAACACUGACUCUUUAAAUAGAGGAUCUGGGAAAGAGUGGGAAUGGAGAGGGGAUGCUCAUGUCCUUCUCUCUCUUUUUUUUUUUUUUUUUUUUUGUUGUUUGUUUGUUUGCUACUUUAUCUCAUGGGCAGCCCCAAUUCUGUGGAACUGAAUGACAGCAUCAGGCAAAAUUGUAAGAAAUCCCAGUCUUUCUGGCCCUAAUAAAGAGGAUUCAUGAAAAUGAAAGUGUAGGGUAACACAGGAGGGAGCUGGAGAAGGUAAGGCUUGAUUCUAUGUUUGACACUUUACAAGCAACAAGGUCAACUCCACUCCUGCAGAAACACGGAAUGUGCCAAAGAAGCAGUUAAUGCUUUGAGAAAUGAGCUACAAUAAAAACACCACCAAGGUCUCAGAACACUUCCUGGGUAUUGGUUUCAGCCUGACCAAUUCUCAAGGAAAAAGACAAUCAACAGAUACAGACAUGGUUUGGAUUUGACCUGUUCCCCAAAAGCUCAUGUCUGAGACAAUGCAAAAAGAUUUAGAAGUGAAGUGAUUGGAUUAGGAGAGCCUUAAUCCAAGCAGUGAAUUAAUCCCCUACAGGGAUUAACUAGAUGGUAACUGAAAACAAGUAGGGUGUGGCUGGAAAAUGUGGGUCACUGGGGGUAUGCCUUUGGGGUAUAUAUUCAUAUCUGCUGAGUGGAGUCUCUCUCUCUCUGCUUCCUGGUCAUCAUGUGAGCCACUUCCUUCUGCCACACUCUUCUACCAUGAUGUUCUGCCACACCUCUAGCCCAAAGGAAUGAAGCCAGCCUACUAUGGACUGAGACCUUUGAAACUGUGAGCCUCAAAAUAAACUUUUCCUCCUUAAAAUUGUUCUUGUCGGGUCUUUCAAUCACAGCAGCGAAAAAGCUGACUAAAACAGAUACUAACCUUAAAUUAUCAGACUUUAUUCACAAUAGUCAAAAACCUUGAAACAACCCAAAUGUCCCUCAAACAUGAAUGGAAAAACAAACUGACAUGUAUCUGUAUAAUAGAAUGCUACUCAGUAAUAAAAUAGAGUGACAGUACAUACAACAAAAUAGAUAAACCUUGAAAACAUUUUACCAAGUCAAAGCCUCUCUCCGCUUUUUUUCAGUCUUUACUUCUGGAGUUCUUAUUUAGAUAUACAUUGGAAAAUUUUCUACUAUCAUUCAUGUGCCUUAACUGUGUUCACAUGAUAUGUGCUUCUUCAUUUUCUGGAUAAUGUCCUCAAAUCUAUUUUCUAAUUCACUAAUUCUUUCCUAAUGUUUGCUAAUACAGUAUUUAAUACCUACACUGAGUUAUCAUCCCAAUGGCUGCAUUUUCAUUUUUAGAAAAUUAAUUUUGUUCUUUUGCAAAUCUACUUUCUCUCUUACUUUAAAUGACAUGUUUAUUUAUUCUAGUUUCUUUAUCUGGUCUUGCCACUUGAUGUUCUAGAAAAGGCAAAACAAAAAAGAUGAAAAACAAAUCAUUGGUUACCAGAGGUUAUUUGUGAAGGUAGAAUUUGACUAUAAAAGGGCAGCAUGAGAGAAUAUUUUUCUUUUUUUGAGGAGAGGAAGAAACUGUUUUGUAUGUUGAUUGUUAUGUGAGUAUAAGCAUUUGAUAGAAGUUAAAAAACUAAACAGAAAGUGAUUUUUACCCUGUAAAUUAAAAAUGAGUUUUUAAAAAUCAUCCAUUUAAAAAAAAAAACCCUUCUGUGAAGCAGAUGGCUUCACAGGUGGAUUCUACUAAACAUUUUAAGAUAAAAAUCAUACUGAUUCCACAUAAAAUCUACCCCAAAUUAGAAGACAGCUCUUGAGAACUCAUUUUACAAGGCCAGCAUUAUCUUCAUAAGAAAAUCAUAGAUAUUGCCAGAACACUACAUAAUAUUUUUAUGAACAUAGAUGCAAAAUCCUUACAUCUUAUGAGCAAAUCAAAUCCAGCAAUAUGUGAAAAAGGGAAGGCAUAAUGACCAAGUACAAUUUAUCUCUAGAAUGUAAGAUAAGUUUCAUGAUUUAAAAAAAAUGUAAAUCAUUAUUCACACUUUUUAAAAAAGGAAAAACAUGAUUAUUUCAAUGAAUUUUUUAAAGUACUUAGUAAAAUACAUUAACAAUUCCUAAUCAAAACUCUCCACAAACUUGGAUGAGAUGGAAACUUCCUCCACUUUUUUAUCAAAAAAAAAAAAUCUACACUUAGUGGUUAGUACCAUAUCCUUGCCAUUCCUAAUCAGCAUGUCUACACAAUGAAAUUUGGCAAUGUAAGGAAAUAAAAGAACUUCUGGUUUCAUGUUCCACAUGUAAGGAACAUGGAAGUCUCUCCUCCAUCUUACCAAGUAAAAAAUUGAACAGUCUGAAAAAUCAACAAUUAUGUAUGCUUAUGUAUAUAUAAUCAUGCAAAUGUAUGUUCAUAUAUAAUUGAAAUGGAUGAUAGCAGUGAUACAAUGCAUAAUAUAAAUUAUAAUUAUUUUGUUUUUAUAUGGUGGAGCAGUUUGAUUUUAUUUGAAAAGAAAUAUGGAUUAGUUGGAAAUGUACAUUGCAAAAUCUAGAUUAGCCACUUAAAGCAAGUUUUUUGUUGUUGUUAUUGUUUGUUUGUUUUUUAAAAAAGUGUUACUGACAUACUGAAAAAUGGGCAUAUAAAAUGCUCAGGUAAAACCACAGAGGACUGAAAAAGAGUAGAAGACAAAAAUAAGAACAAAGAAUAAGGGCAAUUAAUUGAACAAUAACAAAUAUUAUGACUAUUAAUCUAACUAUAUCAAUAAUUUUGAACAGCAAUGGUGAAAAUGUACCAAUUAUGACAUAUUUCCAGAGAUAAUAAAAAAAAACAAGAUACAACUGUAGGUUUCUAUCAGGAACUCAUUUUAAAUUUAAAGACCCGUAAAUUAAAUGGAUGGGAAAAAGUAUACCAUGAUAAUGCUAACAAAAAAAAAAAAAGAGUGGCUAUAUCAAUUUCAAAAAAUAUUUCAAAGCAAGGAAAGUUAUCAGAGAUGAAGAAGAAAAUUUCAUAAUAAUAAAAGGGUUGAUUCUCCAAAAAGAUUUAAUCAUUAACAUGUAGACACCUAACAACACAGAAUCAAACUGGAUGGUGCAAAAACUGAUAGAACUCUGCAAAGAGAAAUACUAGAGUCUGUUAUCAUAGUUGGAGACUUCAAUGCCCCUCUAUCAGAAAUAGACAGAUUCAGCAGGCAGGGCUUUCAUAAUGACAUCCUUGAAUUCAAUACCACCAUGAAUCAACAGUAUAUAAUGGACAUCUAAAGACUAUUUCUUCUAAUAACCAUCAAACACACAUUCUUCUCAAACUCUCAUGGAAUAUUCACCAAGAUACCACUUUCUGGGCCAUAAAACACACAUUAACAAAUUGAAAAGAACAGAAAUCUUAACAACAUCUUCUGUCGGACCAGAAUGGAAUUAAACUAGAAAGCAAUAAUAAAAAGAAAACUGGAAAAUCCCAAGGUAAUUGGAAAUUGACACAUUUCUUUUUUUUUAAUUUUUUAUUGUGGGUUGUUCAAAACAUUACAAAUUUCUUGACAUAUCAUAUUCCACACUUGGAUUCAAGUGGGUUAUGAACUCCCACCUUCACCCCAUACACAGAUUGCAGAAUCACAUCAGUUACACAUCUAUUGAUUUACAUAUUGCCAUACUAGUGUCUGUUGUGCUCCGCUGCCUUUCCCAUCCUCCACCCUCCCCCCUCCCCACCUCUCCCCUCCCUUCCCCUCCUCUCUCUCUACCCCCUCCACUGUAUAACCCUGAGGGUCUCCUUCCAUUACCAUGCAAUUUCCCUUCUCUCUCCCUUUCCCUCCCACCUCUCAUCCCUGUUAAAUGUUAAUCUUCUUCUCCUGCUCUUCGUCCCUACUCUGUUCUUAGUUACUCUCCUUAUAUCAAAGAAGACAUUUGGCAUUUGUUUUUUAGGGAUUGGCUAGCUUCACUUAGCAUAAUCUGCUCUAAUGCCAUCCAUUUCCCUGUAAAUUCUAUGAUUUUGUCAUUUUUUAAUGCAGAGUAAUACUCCAUUGUGUAUAAAUGCCACAUUUUUUUUAUCCAUUCGUCUAUUGAAGGGCAUCUAGGUUGGUUCCACAGUCUUGCUAUUGUGAACUGUGCUGCUAUGAACAUCGAUGUAGCAGUGUCCCUGUAGCAUGCUCUUUUUAGGUCUUUAGGGAAUAGACCAAGAAGGGGAAUAGCUGGGUCAAAUGGUGGCUCCAUUCCCAGCUUUCCAAGAAAUCUCCAUACUGCUUUCCAAAUUGGCUGCACCAAUCUGCAGUCCCACCAGCAAUGUACAAGUGUACCCUUUUCCCCACAUCCUCGCCAGCACUUGUUGUUGUUUGACUUCCUAAUGGCUGCCAAUCUUACUGGAGUGAGAUGGUAUCUUAGGGUGGUUUUGAUUUGCAUUUCUCUGACAGCUAGAGAUGUUGAGCAUUUUUUCAUGUACUUGUUGAUUGACUGUAUGUCCUCCUCUGAGAAGUGUCUGUUCAGGUCCUUGGCCCAUUUGUUGAUUGGGUUGUUUGUUCUCUUAUUGUCUAAUUUUUUGAGUUCUUUGUAUACUCUGGAUAUUAGGGCUCUAUCUGAAGUGUGAGGAGUAAAGAUUUGUUCCCAGGGUGUAGGCUCCCUAUUUACCUCUCUUAUUGUUUCUUUUGCUGAGAAAAAACUUUUUAGUUUGAGUAAGUCCCAUUUGUUGAUUCCAGUUAUUAACUUUUGUGCUAUGGGUGUCCUAUUGAGGAAUUUGGAGCCCGACCCCACCGACUGUAGAUCGUAGCCAACUUUUUCUUCUAUCAGACGGCGCGUCUCUGAUUUGAUAUCAAGUUCCUUGAUCCAUUUUGAAUUCACUUUUGUGCAUGGCGAGAGAAAGGGAUUCAGUUUCAUUUUGUUGCAUAUGGAUUUCCAGUUUUCCCAGCACCAUUUGUUGAAGAUGCUAUCCUUCCUCCAUUGCAUGCUUUUAGCCCCUUUAUCAAAUAUAAGAUAGUUGUAGUUUUGUGGAUUGGUUUCUGUGUCCUCUAUUCUGUACCAUUGGUCCACCCGCCUGUUUUGGUACCAGUACCAUGCUGUUUUUGUUACUAUUGCUCUGUAGUAUAGUUUGAAGUCUGGUAUCGCUAUACCGCCUGAUUCACACUUCCUGCUUAGCAUUGUUUUUGCUAUUCUGGGUCUUUUAUUUUUCCAUAUGAAUUUCAUGAUUGCUUUCUCUAUUUCUACAAGAAAUGCCGUUGGGAUUUUGAUUGGCAUUGCAUUAAACCUAUAGAGAACUUUUGGUAAUAUCGCCAUUUUGAUGAUGUUAGUUCUGCCUAUCCAUGAACAGGGUAUAUUUUUCCAUCUUCUAAGAUCUUCUUCUAUUUCUCUCUUUAGGGUUCUGUAGUUUUCAUUGUAUAAGUCUUUCACCUCUUUUGUUAGGUUGAUUCCCAAGUAUUUUAUUUUUUUUGAAGAUAUUUUGAAUGGAGUGGUUGUCCUCAUUUCCAUUUCAGAGGAUUUGUCGCUGAUAUACAGGAAUGCCUUUGAUUUAUGCGUGUUGAUUUUAUAUCCUGCCACUUUGCUGAAUUCAUUUAUUAGCUCUAAUAGUUUCUUUGUAGAGCCUUUUGGGUCUGCUAGGUAUAGAAUCAUAUCAUCUGCAAAUAGUGAUAAUUUAAGUUCUUCUUUUCCUAUUUUUAUGCCUUUAAUUUCUUUCGUCUGUCUAAUUGCUCUGGCCAGUGUUUCGAGAACUAUGUUGAACAGAAGUGGAGAGAGAGGGCAUCCCUGUCUUGUUCCAGAUUUUAGAGGGAAUGCCUUCAGUUUUUCUCCAUUCAGAAUGAUGCUAGCCUGAGGCUUAGCAUAGAUUGCUUUUACAAUAUUGAGGUAUGUUCCUGUUAUCCCUAGUUUUUCUAGAGUUUUGAACAUAAAGGGAUGCUGUACUUUGUCGAAUGCUUUUUCCGCAUCUAUCGAGAUGAUCAUAUGGUUCUUAUUUUUAAGUCUAUUGAUGUGGUGAAUAACAUUUAUUGAUUUCCGUAUAUUGAACCAGCCUUGCAUCCCAGGGAUGAAUCCUACUUGAUCAUGGUGUACAAUUUUUUUGAUAUGUUUUUGUAUCCGAUUCGCCAGAAUUUUAUUGAGGAUUUUUGCAUCUAGGUUCAUUAGAGAUAUUGGUCUGUAGUUUUCUUUCUUUGAAGUGUCUUUGUCUGGUUUAGGUAUCAGGGUGAUGUUGGCCUCAUAGAAUGAAUUUGGAAGUUCUCCCUCUUUUUCUAUUUCCUGAAGUAGCUUGAAAAGUAUUGGUAUUAGUUCUUCUUUAAAGGUUUUGUAAAAUUCUGCUGUAUACCCAUCCGGUCCUGGGCUUUUCUUAGUUGGUAGUCUUUUUAUGGUUUCUUCUAUUUCCUCAAUUGAUAUUGGUCUGUUUAGGUUUUCUAUAUCCUCCUGACUCAAUCUGGGCAGAUCAUAUGACUUAAGAAAUUUAUCUAUGCCUUCACUAUCUUCUAAUUUAUUGGAGUAUAAGGAUUCAAAAUAGUUUUUGAUUAUCUUCUGUAUUUCUGAAGUGUCUGUUGUGAUAUUGCCUUUUUCAUCCCGUAUGCUAGUAAUUUGAGUUCUCUCUCUUCUUCUCUUCGCUAGCAUCGCUAAGGGUCUGUCGAUUUUGUUUAUUUUUUCAAAGAACCAACUUUUAGUUUUGUCAAUUUUUUCAAUUGUUUCUUUUGUUUCGAUUUCAUUAAUUUCAGCUCUGAUUUUAAUUAUUUCUUGCCUUCUACUUCUUUUGCUGUUGUUUUGCUCUUCUUUUUCAAGGAUUUUGAGAUGAAGUAUGAGAUCAUUUAUUUGUUGGUUUUUUCUUUUUUUAAGGAAUGAACUCCAAGCAAUGAAUUUUCCUCUUAGAACUGCUUUCAAUGUGUCCCAUAGAUGCCGAUAUGUUGUGUGUGUGUUUUCAUUUAUCUCUAAGAAUUUUUUAAUUUCCUCCUUGAUGUCUUCUAUAACCCAUUGAUCAUUCAGUAACCUAUUGUUCAUUCUCCAAGUGAUGUAUGCUUUUUCCUUCCUUCUUUUAUCGUUGAUUUUCAGUUUCAUUCCAUUAUGAUCAGAUAAGAUGCAUGGUAUUAUCUCUACUCCUUUAUAUUGUCUAAGAGUUGCCCUGUGACAUAAUAUAUGAUCUAUUUUUGAGAAGGAUCCAUGUGCUGCUGAGAAAAAAGUGUAACUGCUUGAUGUUGGGUGGUAUACUCUAUAUAUGUCAAUUAGGUCUAGGUUAUUAAUAGUGUUAUUGAGUUCUAUAGUUUCCUUAUUCAACUUUUGUUUGGAAGAUCUGUCCAGUGGCGAGAGAGGUGUGUUGAAGUCUCCCAUGAUUAUGGUGUGGUGGUCUAUUAGACUCUUGAACUUGAGAAGAGUUUGUUUGACGAACAUAGCUGCACCAUUGUUUGGGGCAUAAAUAUUUAUGAUUGUUAUGUCUUGUUGGUGUAUGGUUCCCUUAAGCAGUAUGUAGUGUCCCUCUUUAUCUCUUUUGAUUAACUUUGGCUUGAAAUCUAUUUUAUUUGAUAUGAGUAUGGACAUGCCUGCUUGUUUCCGAAGUCCAUAUGAGUGAUAUGAUUUUUCCCAACCUUUCACCUUCAGCCUAUGUAUGUCUUUUCCUAUCAAAUGCGAGACCUGUAGGCAGCAUAUUGUUGGGUCUUGUUUUGUGAUCCAUUCUACUAGCCUGUGUCUCUUAAUUGGUGAGUUUAAGCCAUUAACAUUUAGGGUUAUUAUUGAGAUAUGGGUUGUUCUUCCAGCCAUAUUUGUUUAUUUCUGUUACUAAACAUGGUUUGUUUUCCUCUUUGAUUAUUCCCCCCCCUUUACUGUCCUACCUCCCACUGUUGGUUUUCAUUGUUAUUUUCCAUUUCCUCUUCCUGUAAUACUUUGGCUAGGAUGUUUUGAAGAGAUGGUUUUCUAGCUGCGAAUUCUUUAAACUUUUGUUUAUCGUGGAAGGUUUUAAUUUCAUUCUCCAUCCUGAAGCUUAAUUUCGCUGGAUACACAAUUCUUGGUUGGAACCCAUUUUCUUUCAGUGUUUGAAAUAUGUUAUUCCAGGAUCUUCUAGCUUUCAGAGUCUGUGUUGAAAGAUCAGCUGUUAUCCUGAUUGGCUUACCCCUAAAUGUAAUCUGCUUCCUUUCUCUUGUAGCUUUUAAAAUUCUCUCCUUAUUCUGUAUGUUGGGCAUCUUCAUUAUAAUGUGUCUAGGUGUGGAUCUCUUAUGAUUUUGCACAUUCGGCGUCCUGUAGGCUUCUAGGAUUUGGGAUUCUGUCUCAUUCUUCAAGUCUGGGAAGUUUUCUCGUAUUAUUUCAUUGAAUAGACUGCUCAUUCCUUUGGUUUGGAGCUCUGUACCUUCCUGUAUCCCAAUGACUCUUAAGUUUGGUCUCUUAAUGUUAUCCCAUAUUUCUUGGAUGUUCUGCUCAUGGUUUCUUAACAGUCUUGCUGAGCUGUCUAUGUUCUUUUCCAGUUGAAAUACUUUGUCUUCAUUGUCUGAUGUUCUAUCUUCUAAGUGUUCUACUCUGCUGGUAGUAUUCUCCAUUGAGUUUUUAAGUUGGUUUAUUGCUUCCUGCAUUUCUAGGAUUUCUGUUUGUUUGUUUUUUAUAACCUCUAUUUCCCUGUGUAGUUGAUCUUUUGCUUCUUGGAUUUGUUUAUGUAAUUCAUUGUUGAAGUGAUCUUUCAUUGUCUGAUUUUGCUGUUUAAUGUCUUCCUUGAUACUCCAGAUCAUCUGAAGCAUGUAUAUCCUGAAUUCUUUAUCUGACAUUCCAUCUGCUGCAGCUGUUACCUCUUCUAAAGUUGCGUUGACCUGCAUUGCUUGUGGUCCUUUCUUUCCUUGUCUUUUCAUACUGCUUGCGUAUCUUUCCUGCAGGUGCGGGCGGCGGCUCUGCUCUCUCCUUAUUCCAAUUGGGGUGUCGUGGCUACCACGCCGGCAGGUCACUGGGCCUGUUCUGGGAGCUGGUGGCGGCUCUGUUCUGCCCCUACUCCAAUUGGGGUGACGAGUGUACCACGCCGGCAGGCCACCGGGCCUGAUCCGCCGGUCGGUUGCAGGUUUGCCUACCCUGCAGGCGCGGGCGGCGGCUCUACUCUGCCCCUACUCCAAAUGGGGUGACGUGUCUGUCGUACCGGCAGGCCACUGGGCCUGUCCCGCUGGUCGGUCGCAGAUCUGCCCACCUUUCGGGCACGGGUGGAGGCUCUGCUCUGCCCCUACUCCAAUUGGGGUGUCGUGACUACCCCGCCUGCAGGACGCUGGGCCUGUUCCUGGCACGGGCGGCNNNNNNNNNNNNNNNNNNNNNNNNNNNNNNNNNNNNNNNNNNNNNNNNNNNNNNNNNNNNNNNNNNNNNNNNNNNNNNNNNNNNNNNNNNNNNNNNNNNNNNNNNNNNNNNNNNNNNNNNNNNNNNNNNNNNNNNNNNNNNNNNNNNNNNNNNNNNNNNNNNNNNNNNNNNNNNNNNNNNNNNNNNNNNNNNNNNNNNNNNNNNNNNNNNNNNNNNNNNNNNNNNNNNNNNNNNNNNNNNNNNNNNNNNNNNNNNNNNNNNNNNNNNNNNNNNNNNNNNNNNNNNNNNNNNNNNNNNNNNNNNNNNNNNNNNNNNNNNNNNNNNNNNNNNNNNNNNNNNNNNNNNNNNNNNNNNNNNNNNNNNNNNNNNNNNNNNNNNNNNNNNNNNNNNNNNNNNNNNNNNNNNNNNNNNNNNNNNNNNNNNNNNNNNNNNNNNNNNNNNNNNNNNNNNNNNNNNNNNNNNNNNNNNNNNNNNNNNNNNNNNNNNNNNNNNNNNNNNNNNNNNNNNNNNNNNNNNNNNNNNNNNNNNNNNNNNNNNNNNNNNNNNNNNNNNNNNNNNNNNNNNNNNNNNNNNNNNNNNNNNNNNNNNNNNNNNNNNNNNNNNNNNNNNNNNNNNNNNNNNNNNNNNNNNNNNNNNNNNNNNNNNNNNNNNNNNNNNNNNNNNNNNNNNNNNNNNNNNNNNNNNNNNNNNNNNNNNNNNNNNNNNNNNNNNNNNNNNNNNNNNNNNNNNNNNNNNNNNNNNNNNNNNNNNNNNNNNNNNNNNNNNNNNNNNNNNNNNNNNNNNNNNNNNNNNNNNNNNNNNNNNNNNNNNNNNNNNNNNNNNNNNNNNNNNNNNNNNNNNNNNNNNNNNNNNNNNNNNNNNNNNNNNNNNNNNNNNNNNNNNNNNNNNNNNNNNNNNNNNNNNNNNNNNNNNNNNNNNNNNNNNNNNNNNNNNNNNNNNNNNNNNNNNNNNNNNNNNNNNNNNNNNNNNNNNNNNNNNNNNNNNNNNNNNNNNNNNNNNNNNNNNNNNNNNNNNNNNNNNNNNNNNNNNNNNNNNNNNNNNNNNNNNNNNNNNNNNNNNNNNNNNNNNNNNNNNNNNNNNNNNNNNNNNNNNNNNNNNNNNNNNNNNNNNNNNNNNNNNNNNNNNNNNNNNNNNNNNNNNNNNNNNNNNNNNNNNNNNNNNNNNNNNNNNNNNNNNNNNNNNNNNNNNNNNNNNNNNNNNNNNNNNNNNNNNNNNNNNNNNNNNNNNNNNNNNNNNNNNNNNNNNNNNNNNNNNNNNNNNNNNNNNNNNNNNNNNNNNNNNNNNNNNNNNNNNNNNNNNNNNNNNNNNNNNNNNNNNNNNNNNNNNNNNNNNNNNNNNNNNNNNNNNNNNNNNNNNNNNAAGAGACAGGUGUACGCUCCUAUAAGAGUAGGCUCCAAGAAGCAGUCCCCGCGGGCUCAGUUCCGGGAGCCGGAAUUUGGCCGCUUAGUGCUUGGUGUAUGCUCUGAUAGGAGCAGGGUCCAAGAAGCAGCCUCCGCAGGCUCCGCAGCCCUGGGCCAGGGCGGUUCCGGGACUGUUCCGGGAGCCGGAACUCGGCCGCCCCGUGCUCGGUGUUCACUCCGAUAAGAUCAGGUUCUAAGAAGCACCCAGGCACUGAACCCUAGCAAUCUGUCUGCAAGCCGCAGGCGAAUUGCAGCCUGAAAUUACCUGUUCUAUGGCUGAAUGAGCUGCGGUCAGUUGAAAACAGGGAUGGUGACGUCAGCUUUCCAACAUGGUGGCUGCUGGCCUCCUCUGUGGUCCGACCGGUGUGGAGAACCGAGAUGGACCGCCUCCCUCCCCCGUCUCAAACCCAGAAUUCAGCCCUGAGUAAGGCGCCCGCACGGCUGGCAGAAACCGCAGUGCUGUAUCCCUGCAUCGCCAUCUCCUCGCUUCCCAGCGCGCAGUGCAGACUCUAGCCGCGGGGCGGCUCGCUGAGCAAGCAGUGCUACCCUCCGUGCGACAAACCUCCCGCGUUUGAGUCCCCGUAGCCGAUCCUCGUGCGAUGGAAAUCCUUCCUCCAGGCUCCGGAGCACCCCACUAUUGCUGGAAAUUCCCAACAAGAUAUCCUUUAGCCGUCCUGACUUGUCACACUCCCACACAGUGAAGCAGCACACGGGGGCAAUGCACUCCCCUCGCCACCAUCUUCCUUCUCAAAUUGACACAUUUCUACAUAACACAUGGACCAAAGAAUGCUCAACUGUUAAAAAAUAAUUUGAGCUGGGUGCAGUAGUGCACACCUGUAAUCCCAGCAGCUGGGGAAGUUGAGGCAGAAGGAUCAGGAGUUUAAAGCCAGCCUCAGCAAAAGCAAGAUGCUAAGCAACUCAGUAAUACCCUGUCUCUAAAUAAAAUACAAAAUAGGGCUGGGGAUGUGGCUCAGUAGUUGAGUGCUCCUGAGUUUAAUCCCCAGUACCCACCCCCCAAAAUUUGAACUCAAUGAAAACACAACUUAUCAAAAUUUGCGGAAUUUAGUAAAAUCAGUGUUCAGAAGGAAACUUGUAGCCUUAAAUGCAUAUAUUAGAAAAGAAGAAAGAUCCCAAGUUAAGUUUCCACCUUUGGGAAUUGUAAAAAGUAGAGAAAGUUAAAUACAAAGUAAACUGAAGAAAUUAACCAAGAAGUAGUUUAGAAAAUCACUGAAACUAAAAAUAGGAAAUCAACUGAGAAAAAUCUAUAAAAUGAAAAGUUAGUUCCUAGAAAAGGUCAAUAAAGUUAGGCAAGCCUCUAGCAGGGCAAACUAAGAAAAAAAGACAAGAACAGAAUUACUUGUCUUUUUUACUGGAAUCAGAAAUGAAACAGGUAACAUAACCACAGAUCCCAUGGACAUUAGAAAGAUAAUAAAGGAGUACUAUGAACAACUUUGUAUACACAGAGCUGGUAAUCUGGAUGAAAUGUCUCCGUUAUUUGAAAGAGACAAUCUACCAAAACUCACACAAGAAGAAAUAGAUAAUCCAAAUAGGCCUAUAUUUAGUAAGGAAAUUGAAUAAUAAUUAACAACCUUCCCAAAAAGAACUCACAAGGCCCAGAUGAGUUAACUCACUGAUAAAUUCUAUCACAUAUUUAAGGAUAAAAUUAUAGCAAUUCUCUACAACCUAUUUCAGAAGAUAGAAUCAAAGGGAAUACUUUCUAACCAUUCUUAGGCUAGCAUUACCCUAAUAUCCAAACCAGGGCGAAGACAUUAAGAAAAAAGAAACUUAUAGACCAAUACAUCUUAUGAAUGUAAAUGCAAGUAUCCUCAAAAAUAUUUUAACAAAUUCAAUCCAAAAGUUUUUAAAAAGAAUAAUACACUGAUACCAAGUGAGAUUUAUCCUAGGUAUGCAAUGCCAAUUUGACAUUUAAUAAUUAAUUAAUGUAAUUCAUUACAUCCAUAGGCUAAAAAACAGAAAAACCAUAUGAUUGUAUCAAUAGAAAAAAAUUAAUUUGAAAAAAUUCUACAUCCACUCAUGAUUAAAAAGAAAAAAACUCUCAGUAAACAAGGAUUAGAAGGGCACAUUCUCAACUUGAUAAAGAAUAUCUGUAAGAAAGCCUACAGCUAAUGUCACGCUUCAAGGUGAAAAAUUAAAAACGUUCCAACCAAAAUCAAGAACAAGUUAAAAAUGUCCUGUCUCAUUACUCCUUUCUAGUAUUUUUCUGGAAGUCCUAGAUGAUAACAAUAAAAUAAGAAAGGUAAAUAAAAGGCAUAGAGAUUAAGAAGGAAGAAAUAAAAUUAUGUUGCAGAUGACUUGGAUUGUUUAUGUAGAAAAUCUGAAAAAGAUCAUCAAAAAACCUAGAGCUAGUAUCCAAUAAUGACUGAUUUUCAGUAAACAAGGUUAAUAUACAAAAAGUUAAUCAAAUUGCUACAUAACAGCAAUGAACAAGUGGAAUUUGAAAUAAAAAACCAAAAUACUGUUUGUAUUAGAACCCCUCAAGAUGAAAUGAUUAUGUAUAGAUAAAACAAAAAGUGUACAAGAUCAAUAUGACAAAAUACAAAAUUCUGCUGACAAAAGCAAAGAAAAACUAAAUGAAUGGAGAGAUAGUCCAUGUUCAUGAACCGGAAGAUUCAAUAUUAUCAAGAUGUAACUUCUUCCCAAAUUUAUCUAUAGACUCAAUGUAAUCUCAAUCAAAAUCUCAGCAGCUUACUUUGUGGAUUUAAAUAAAUUCACUCUGAAGCUUAACACAGAGAAAUAAAGACCCAGAAUACCCAACACAACAUUAAAGGAAAAGCACAACUGUCCAACUGAUACAACACUUACUUUAAAACCAAUAAUGAAGACUGCACUAUUAGCAAAACAAAACAUAAGUAAAUCAAUAAAACAGAAUAGAGAGUCCAGAAAUACACUCAAAUAAAUAUAGUCAACUGAUCUUUGACAAUAAGCAUUACACUGGGGAUCGGAAUGGAAUAGUGCUGGAACAACUGGAAAUCCACAAGAAAGAAAAAUUAAAUCUAGACACAGAUCUUAACAUUUUUUACAAAAAUUAAUUUACCAUGGCUCAUAGGCCUAAAAAAUAUGCAAAACUAUGAAAGUUAUAGAAAAUGUAGGAGAACAUUUAGAUGACUUUGGGUUUGAUGAAGUUGCUUUAGAUACACUCCAAAGGUAUAAUUAUAAAAGAAAUAAUUGAUAAUCUGGACCUUGUUAAAAUUAAAAAUGUCUGUAAAAAGCAAUGAAUGUGAAGAGAAUUAGAAAGUCCAGACAGAGAAAAUAUUUGCGAGAAAAAGAACUAUCAUUCAAAAGAUAUAAAGAAUUUUUAAAAUUCAAUAACAAAAGAUUUUUUGAAACAUAUUUUUAGUUAUAGAUGGACAUAAUAUCUUUAUUUUAAUUAUUUAUUUUUAUGUGGUACUGAGGAUUGAACCCAGUACCUCACAUAUUCGAGGCAAAUACUCUACCACUGAGCUACAACCCCAGCCCCACAAUAGAUUUUUUAAAAUGACCAGAUACCUUAAAAGACACCUCACUGAAGAAGAUAUAUAGAUGGCAACUAAACAUGUCAAAAGAUGCUCAGCAUAAUAAAUGGAAAUGCAAAUUAAAACCUUAAGGUACUAUAUACAUACACUGGAAUAUCUACAAUUAAAAAUACAACUCCAUGGAUUGGCAAGGAUGUAGAGCAGUGGAAAUCCUUGCACAUUUCUGGUGGGACUAUAAAAAGGUACAAUCACUAAAAUUAAAUAAUAAAAUUAAACACAUUUACCAUAUAACCCAGAAAUUUACUCCUUUGUAGUACCCAAGAGAAAUUAAAAUAGCCACAUGAAGACUUGUACUUUAAUGUUCUUGACUUAUAAUAGCCCCAAACUGGAAAUAAACAAAUCAAAUGUCAAUCAACUGUCAAAUGGAAAAUAAAUUGUGACAUUGGUGUACAAUGGAAUUGAACUCAGCAAUAGAAAGAAUUAAAUAUUGAUAAUCACAACAAUGUAGGCAAAUCUCAAGGUACACUAGGUGGUAGAAGUCAGACAUUAUGAUUCUGUUUUAGUUUAGGCUGCUAUAACAAAGUACCAUAGACUGGAUGACUUAUAAACAACAGAAAUUUAUUUCUCACAGUCUGGAAGUUAGCGGUCCAAGAUGAGAGUGCCAUCAUAGUCAGGUUCAGGUGGGGACCCUCUUGCAGAUUUCAGACUGCCAACCUCUCAUUGUAUCCUCACAUGGCAGAAAGAAAGCCAAAUGGCUCUCGGGCCUCUUCUUAAGGCCACCAAUCCCAUUCAUGAAGGCUCCACCCAUAUUACCCUUAAAAGGCCCCCAUCUUUUACAUCACAUUAAGAUUUUAUAUUAACAUAUGAAUUUUGGGAGACACAAACAUUCACUUCAUCACAGAUUCUAUUUAUUUGAACUUUAAGAAAAUGCAAAACUAUUGGUGGUUCUCAAGUUCCUGGGAUGAAGAGGAGGGACAGGAGUAGAAGGGAGUGGGAUGGGAGACAGACUGUAAAGGAACACAAACUUUUUAAAGCAAUGGAAAUGUUUGUGAUAGUGAUGGCAACAUUUGUAAAAAAAAAAAAAACUCAUCAAAUUAUAUACUUAAAAUCUUGACUUUUAUUGUACAUAAAUUAUAUCUCAAUAAAGCUGUUUUUUUAAAAUUCAAUUCCUGAUUUCUUGUUCCUAUCCUCCUAUUAGGAUGAGACCUAAAUUGGGGUCAUUAAAUAGCCUAUGAUUUCAGGUGAGAUAAGGAAAUACUUAUACAACCAAAUCAGGGGACUGUAAAAUUUGUACACGUGGAAAACGAAGAGGAAACAUCUUAUUAUCUAAGGUGGCUCUUCCCCUGAUUCAAAGUUGAUGUGCAUUCUUUUAAGAAAAAAAUGUGUUGCUCCCUUUCUCAAAAACUCAAUGUCCUCUCCAGUCUUUCUUAUCCUACAUUUAAAUAUUUUACAGUGGGAUUUGAAGAUCAGGACUUCCAAGGACAAAUGGACAAAUUUAUACUGGAGAGAACCAAUUAUCAUUUCUAGCUUACCUAUUAGUGAAAUCUUUGUUCCAGCUCCAGACUGACUUCUGUUUAUUUGUUCCCCAUCAAAAUAAGAUAAAGAACAUUAUAUAUGAAAGCAAAAGAAUGAGGCAGUGGUGGGAGGGAGCUAACAUUUUAUUGAGGAGUGUAAACUGGGCUCUGCACUGAGGCAUCAUGUGCAUUGUCCCAUUUAAUCUUUACAACUCUUAAAUCAUCUUAUGGUUUAGGAAAUAGCCAUUCAGAGGAUGAAUAUCUUGCCCAGGAUCACACAGUAAGGGGAGAAAUGAGUUUGCAGGCUGUAUCACUGAACUUCAAAAUAGUCAUUUCAGGGCAUGAACAGUGGUGCAUGACUGUAAUCCCAGCAACUUGGAAGGCUGAGGUAGGAAGAUCACAAAUUCAAAGACAGCCUCAGCAAUUUAGCAAUACCCUAAGCAACUUAGUGAGACCCUGUCUCAAAAUUAAAAAAUAAAAAGGGCUGAGGAUGUGGCUCAGUGGUUAAAUACUCAUGGGUUCAGUCCCUGAUAUCCACCCCCCCCCCAAAAUAGUCAUUUUUAUUACCCCAUGCUGCCAUCCUGGUAAACUAAGUUAAAGCCACUAAUUCCACUCUCAGAUGAAGUCAGAGGAGGAGGUGGAAAAAGGUAGAAACCUGGAGAAGAACCUGGCUGCUGCAGCUGGGAAGCAGUGAUCAUUCAUAUUUCCUGAAGUUCUUUGCUAAGGAAACAGACCCAUCUAGGUAUAACAUCCCCCCUAACCAGGUAAUGAGGAAGAGAAAAGGAGAGCUGAAGGAUCAGGUUUGCAAAGUAAUUUCUUAAUUAGAAAAUUCCAUCAAAAUAGAAGAAAGAUCAGUGGAGUAGACAAAGGGAUGCAGGGAGAGGUAGGAGGGAUGAUAUGAUAAGGGAAGAACAGUGGAACGAAUCUGACCUAAUCUUCUUAUGUACAUAUAUAAAUAUACCACAGUGAAUCACACCAUUAUGUAUAUCCUCAAGACCCUAACUAAAAAUAACCAACAAAAAAAUUAUUAGUAAAUAGCAGAACCCAGUAUAGAGGAAAAGGAACAGGGGUAGAGAGGAGGGAAGGGAAAGGGAAAGUACUGAGGACUGAAUUGGAGCAAAUUAUAUUCCAUGCUUUUAUAAUUAUGUAAAAAUGAAUCUUAAUGCUAUGUAUAACUAAAAGAACCAAUUAAAAAUAAAGGAAAAAAACUAUGAGAUCUCCCAUUUAUCUUCCUAAAGUUCCGCUGAUUUUUCCUAAAAGUGAUUUGUUCUCUCAAAAAUGCCCUUUUGCCCCCGCCAGGCCCCAUUAAAAUGGUAUAUAAGAUGUAAAUCCUAACUACCACCAGGAGUCAUAUUUCUUAGUCAACUCCCAUGGUAUGUAAAUAAUUAAAUCCAUUUUUCUUGCUAAAAAAGAUAUAUAGACUAUUAUUAUAACAUUGUAAGUGUACUUUCUGGUAUUAUUUUUAAAAAUUCAAGCAAAAAGGAUGGUGGAGUUUUUCAAAUGUGUUAUCUUCAUACCAAGAUUGAGGAGUGGCCUACAUUUGAUUCUAAAUUGCUCUCAAACUUGUAGAAUCUCUGCUUCACAGACCUGGAAGAGUGUCAGCUGCAGACCUACUUGGGCAUUCCAAACCUCCUACAGGAUUUGGAACUCUUAGCCUCUGCUCACUACUAAAUUAUGUGGAAACUUUUAAGGGAACUGAUAGGGCCUUUCAGGCACUCUGAAUUUCUGAAGCCUGACGGGACUUGCAGAAGGACUGUAAAUUAUUGCAGAUAUGAAACCAGUGUUUCUUGCCACACUGUGUAUAUGUGAAGCCUUUCCUUUUGUUUGUAACUAUAGCAACAAGCUCUGUGGUCCAUUGUUUUGCUCAGCUCACUCUUAACCACCUCAUGGCUGCCUAAUCAUCACUGCUCUACCAGAAUUAAUUUGUAUUUGAUUGAUUUACACUAUGUUGGCUUGCUCUUUGCUAAAGGAGUCCCAACCCUGUACUGUUUCAGUGACAGGUUUUGGAUUCCAUCAGCCUGCCUUUACCCUUGCUCUUUAGCUAAGACCCAAGAGAGAGUCUUAAAGGUAAUAGAAUGUAAAAAAGCAAGGGAUUUGAGACAUAGUUUGAAUAAAUACUUCUAUUUAUUGUUGCAUGAUCUUGGGUACAUCCUUCACCCUUUUUGAUUUCAGUUUUCUCAUCUACAAAAUGGAGAUAAUUCUUGUGGUAUAUGUUUGUUGUUAGGAUUAUGUGAAAUAAUAUGAAGGAAAGCUUUGUUUAAAUUGUAAGAACUAUAUAACACUGUUAAUAGGUACACAGCAGGUCACCACUGGGCAGGAAUGCCUUCAUGUUGACAAGGGUCAUCAGGAAUAUACGUUAGAGACAAAAUCAUAUCUGUUUCUAUGACAAUUCUGCCACAUGUAUGGUGCUUCUCUGUCAUAACCCAACAAUAUAUUAUGUCUACUCAGAAAUGACUAAUUCAGAGCUUGUUUUGGCUAUGUAGGUUUCAAAGAAAAAAUGGAAAAAUACAUAACCUUUGAAAAGAAGGUGAACUUUUCUUGGAUCUGUGCUUGGGACACAGUGGGAGUGGGCACAGGGAGGCAAGAGGAUAGUGCAUAGAAGAACCAGGAUCAAGUGCACUGAGCAUGCUUCCCUUCCAGGGAGGGGGUUUAACCUGUUAUAGAGCUUUGGGCUCUCCAUGGUUGUGGGCAAGUAACAGAUUCCUCAUUGGUUGUACAUGCACAUAAUUUAGGAUUGAACUGUUUAAUACAUGUAAACAUUUAAUGGCUACAUGUGCACUUAGAGCUUCUUAUCAGAGUUUUCCUUUCUCGUGUGUGUGUGUGUGUGUGUGUGUGUGUGUUUAAUUAAAGGUGGUCUUACCCAGAUUGUUACUUGAACAUUUCAAUAAUGAGACAAAUUUUAUCUUUGCAUACCUACUGCUAGAGUUUUCUUUCUUUCUUUUUUUAACCUGUGCCUGAAUAGUUUUGCUUUUUACAAAACCAUUUUUUGAGAGGAUAUUUUCUUUUCUUUUUUGAACAGAAAAGAAGUUGUGGUUUGGUUUAUCAGAUCUUUGAGAAAACAUUUUAGCAUCUCUUUUUUAACACAUGUAUCUAUAUCUUCAAAAAUGUUUCAAGCCUAAUUUUGUCUUCCUAUAGUAAGAAUUAGUCUUAGAACAAAGUAUCUAGAUAUGAAUAAAUGCAGUACAUUUAUCUGUUGCAUUUAGGACUGCCAAGUUGGUAGUAUCUGCUAUUAUUGUCCAUUGAGUGGAUCUGAGGCAUGCCUCAUGUCAGAUUGGUUGUCCAAUAUUCUAAGCCUAUCAUAUUGUGGACCAGAGUGCUCUUAAAAUAGGCCUUCAAUGGAGCCUUUUAAUGUUACAUAAGAAAAAUAUACAUAAGAACACAAACCAUAUACUGACAGGAUUGAGAUGCAUUUGUUAAACAUUUUUUGAAAUCCUGUUCCAACAUUUCUGUCUUUAAAAAUAUAUUAGGAAACUGAAACAAAAUAUAUAAAUAAAUAAAUACAUUGAAAUGUCCUAGAGUUCUUCCUUCCUCCAAGAGGUUUGACUCUGAAUCACUGUAGAAACAGUCACACAGCUAACCUUCUAUAGAAGUGGGCUGCUGGGUUUCACAUGCAAUCCUAUUUCCAGGGAAGUUAGAAGAAUUAAAUUACAAUGAUGAAUGAUCAGGUUGCAUGUAGACAUAGGAGAGAAACAGAACACAUUUAACUUUUAAAUUAUACUUUGUUGUUUCUAAAAUGAGCAAAAUGUGUUCUUGUCCAGCGACAAGUGAUAUCGAAAGACUGUGGUUUCUUACAACAUCUUUCUUGGAGCAUUGCCAUCUCACCGUAAGAAAGUCACAUUGUUUGUGUAUCCUGACCUGUUUUCUGGGGCAUGUGUUAUUUGUUUUUUGUACAUACUCCUCGAAACUGUCAAGAAAAAUCUUUGGAGUUCAAAAUCAAAACAAAAUGAUGAUUGUCCAUGUUUAGUUUUAAAGAAGAGGAAGUAGUGGUGUGUCUUACAAAACAAGGCCUUCCCCGUAAUGCCUAUUGCUCAAUUAUUCUGUGGGAAGCUUCCUACUUUGGCUUUUAUCUUAACCCCUAGAUGAAGUGUGAAGAAUAGGGGAGCUAGAUGGGACCAGACCUUGAUAGUUAGCUCCCUUUCUCCUUCGCUGGCCUUUUGCUUCUGUGUGUAUCAAAAGCAUGUGUGUGGGCUGGGGCAAUAGCUCCGUGGUAGAGCACCUGCCUCAGCUCCACAUAAAUAAAUAUAUUGUGUCCAACUUAAAAACAAAAGCAUGUAUGUGGAAGCUUGGUUCAUGUCCUCCACUUUCUGGAAGGCCUUAUCAGACCAUGUUCUCUUUUCAGACUCCUGCAGCAUUGUCUCAACUCAGGGCUCAUCCUAGAGUCUUCCAGCAGUGGCACCCCCUGCAAGUGCAUCCUGCAUGGCUACUGGCCUCUCCAGUCCAAGCCUUCCUGGCACCUAUUUCAGUUAUAAAUUUUUGAAGUUUAUGUUUCUGAUUCUUGAUUAAUUUCCACCAGUCUGCAAGCUCCCUGAGGCCAGGGCCCUUGUCUGGUCUUACUCACCACAGGAUCUUUCUCUUACAGCACAGUGGUUGGUUCCCAGCCUCUACACUGUCUCCUUACCUCCAGAUUCACAUUCUUUCCAACCCAUUCCUCUUGGUGUCACCAGUAUCUUUACAACACAGGUUAACUCCUCUCUGAAAAAAAAAAAAAGUGAUGGCUUCCAAGACCCCCAGAUGAAAGUCUAAAUUCCAGGCUGCAACUGAUUGGGUUUUUUGUUGUUGUUGUUUGUUUGUUUGUUAGCUUUAUCUACCUGCCUAAGAACAUUGCUUUUUCUAUGGGCUUAUUUUACCUUAACUUGAAUGACAAAACUAGUUAUUUCCCUGCCUUGAUUCUUCUUCAGAUGAUAAGUUGUUUGCAUAUUUGUAGAUUCUUGGUCUUUAAUAGACAUUUGCUUCAUUGAUUUAUGUAUUCUGGACAUAUAAGUCUCUAGAAUCACUACACCUGAUAGCUGUGUAGUUUUUCCCACACCAAGAAUUCAAGGCAUUUUAUAAACAUUUUCUAGUUUAUAUCACUGUAGCCUGAAAAUGUAUUUUUUCCCAUUUGUUUAUUUAUAGCUGUCAAUCAUAUUGCCUGCAGCAUGGUAAUAUUAAUACAAUGGAUUUUGCAAUCCUAUCUUAACUAAUCCUUGAAUAUUUUCUGUUUUACCCAUUAAACUUUGUUAUCCACUUAAUUCUUUUCCUUCCUAUUAUUUAAUUAGCUUAAUUAGUGAUUUAGGUCUUAACAGAGACUUUUAUAUUUGUCUCUAUUAUGUUUUCUUACUUUCCCACUCACUCUUACUUUCUGUCUUUCUUUUAACCACUCUACUGAAGUAUGAUUGACAUAUUAAAAGUUGUACAUAAACCCAACAACUAUGUAUAACUAUAAAGCUCUAAUUUUUUAUUGAAAAGCUAUACAUAGCCAGGUAUGGAUGCACAUGCCUGUAAUCCCAGCAACUUGGGAGACGGAAACAGGAGGAUUGUAAAUUUGAGGCCAGUCUGGGAACUUAGUAAGAUCCUGUCAGGAAAUAAACAAAAAGGACUGGGGAUGUGGCUCAGUGGUAGAGCAUCCUGGGUUCAGUCUCCAGUACCACACACACACUAAGCUGUACAUAUUUCAUGGGCACACGUCAAUGAGUUUGGGCAUAAGAAUAGACCCAUGAAACCAUCAUCAUUACUAAUGACACGAGUACAUUUAUUAUCUUCCAAGGUUUCCGCCUGGCCUUUUUAUUAUUGUUGUUAUUGUAGGUAUAGUUAUGCAGUAUUGUUAACCAUGGACACUAUGAUAAAUAGUUGAUUUCCAGGAUGUAUUUAUCUUGCAUAACCAUUCCCUUCAACCACCACUUCUCAAUUUCUCCCUGUCACAAGUACUGGCAACCACCAUCCUAUUCUAUGAGUGUGACCAUUUUAGAUUCCACUCAUGAGAUGAUAUAGUAUUUGUAUUUGACUUCACAUAACCUCUGCUUUAUGCAUGAUGUUAUAAAUGCCAGAAUCCCCUCUUUUUAGAGGUUGAAUAGUGUUCCAUUAUGUAAAAAUACCACAUUUUCUUUAUUACUCACCUGUUAAGACAUUGAGUUGAUGCUAUAACUUGGCUACUGUGAAUAGCACUGCAUUGAACAUGGGAAUGCUGAUAAAUCUUUAAAAUCUUUAUUCCAAUUCUUUUGGCUGUGUACCCAGAAGUAAUAUUUCUGGAUCAUAAAGCACUUUCAUUUUUAAUUUUUUUGAGACACCUCCAUACUGUUUUCCAUAACAUCUUCACCGAUUUACAUUGCUACCAACAGUGUACAAGAAUCCCCUUCCUUUCAUAUAAUCUUCAAUACUUAUCUUUUGUUUUUGUAUUGUAUUAAGUAGCCAUCCUAAUAGAUGUGAGUCUAUAACUCAUUGUGGUUUUCAUUUCCAAAAUAACUUGUGGUGUUGAGCAUCUGUUCUUGUAUCCAUUGGCCAUGUCUACAUCUUGAAAAAAUAUCUGUUCAGAUCCUCUGUCUAGUUUUUCAAUCACAUUUUGCUUUUGCUUUUCUCUGUUUUGCUGUUCAGUUUUAUAAAUUCCUGGUAUAUUUUGGAUAUUAAUGCCUUAUUGGAUAUAUGGUUUGCAAAUCUUUUCUCAUUUCACAAGUUGCUAUUUCAUUUUAUUGGUUAUUUCCUUUGCUGUGCAGAAACUUUUUAGUCUGAUGUAAUCCCACUUGUUUAUUUUUUCUGUUGUUGCUUGUGCUUUGGUGUCCUAUCCAAAAACUCAUUGCCAAGACCAACAUCAAGGAACUCUUCCCCUGUGUUCUCUUCUAGGAGCUCUAUAGUUUCAGAUCUUAAAUAUUUAAUCCGUUUUUUUUUUUGUUGCUGCUGUUCUCUGUGUUUUUUCCAAUUCUUUUAAACAUUUAAUCCAUUUGAGUUAAUUUUUAUUAAUAGUAUAGAUAGUGGUAUAGUUUUGUUCUCUGGCACAUGGAUAUCCAGUUUCCCCAACACAAUUGAUUGAUGAGAUUCUCCUUUGUCAUUUUGAAAUCUUGGUGUCCUUCUUGAAUAUUGGUUGCCUGUAUAUACAUAGGUUCAUCUCUGAGCUCUUUGUUAUGUUCCAUUGGUCUAUGUUAAAAAUGUUUUUAAUAUUUAAAUGUUUAAAGUUAUGCCUAAGUGCAUGCCACUACCAUAUUAUUUUGAUUGCUAUAGAUUUGUACUGUAAUUUGAAAUCAGGAAGUAUGAUGCUUCCAGCUUUUUUCUUCUUGCUCAGGGUUGCUUUGGUUAGUCAGGAUCUUUUAUGAUUCCAGAAGAAUUUUAGGAUUUUUCUUCUAUUUCUUGGAAAAAGUGCAUUGGAAUUUUGACAGGGAUUGCACUGAAUCUGUAGAUUACUUUGGGUAGUGUGGAUACUUUAACUAUUAAUUCUUGUGAUCCAUGAACAUGAGAUUUCUUUCUUUUUAUUUAUGUUUUCAUAAUUUCUUUCAUCACUGUUUUUUAAAAAUAGUUCUCAAUGUACAGCCCUUUCAUGUCUUUGGUUAAAUUUAUGCCUAAAUAUUUUAUUCUAAGGGCCGAAGUUUGUCUGAUAAUGUCUAUCAGAACCCUGUUAAAGUGUCUUUUAGUUGUUUCACUAUGUAAAAUGCUAUACCUGUUCUAAAUAUUUAGAAUGUUUCAAGACAAUAGAAAUUGAAAACUUCAGCAAAUUGAGAAAUUUGUCCAAAUUCAAUAUAGUAACCAUAUUUUGUUGGCCAGGUAAGCUGUACCAUAUUUAAAGGUACAGUGCUUUGAUUACCUCAACCUUGGCUUUCAAAGUUAAUUUUAAUUAUCAAGGUUCCAGGAGACUUUAAAAUGCAUUUUAAGGUAAAUAGAUAUACUUUGCAACACUUUUAUAAUAGCAAAAAACUGGAAAUGGCUGGGUCCAAAUUAGUGGCAAUGAUGACAGUAAUGGCAGCAGAAGCAGCAGUGUCAGCAGAAGUAGUAGGGGAAGCUCCAACCAUCAUGUUCAUGCUUUUUAUGAGGACAGCUCUGGGACCCAACGUGGGAGGCAGGUUCCCAGAACUUGUCCAUGUGGCAUUGCACAUUAAGGGCAGGAACUUCUGGCACUCAGGCAAAAUAUUUUUUAAGUAAAUUAUCACAAAAUAAAAGCAAACACAUGGAGGAUGCAAUAAAGCAUAUCAGGGAGUUCCUAAGAAUUCAUCAUAGUUUAAAAAUCAUCAGUUUUGAAAACGGCUACAGCAUUACAAAUCAAAUAUCCAUGUAUCCAUGCUUAGAAAUAAAAAUGAAAUUUAAAUGGCAUUGCAUUUGACAAAAAAAAAAGAAAGAAAGAAACACUUUUCAUGUGAAGCUUUGACUAAACCAAGAAUUUUAUUUUUACUUUGUCAUUGAAUGUAUACCAAUAGAAUGCAUAGGGAGUGUUUUGGUGUAGAUACUAAGCAUAAAGCCAUAUAUAGAUUCUUGCAUAACCUCCACAAGUUACAUGGGAUGUCACAGGAAACAUUAAAAUGAAUAUUGAAUAAAUUUACAUUUAAAAAGAAGUUCACACAUGAAACUGACUCUUAUUUUAUAAAAAUUGUUCUAUGGGACUUACCAGCUCUAAGUGUUAUGAAUUUUGAAAUGAUUAUCAGAAAUUUAUCCAAAUACUGUCACAGCCUGUAAAUUCUCUUAAUAAUUCCAGCAACAGAUGCAUCUGCAAGGAAAAGUCUUUUCAAAAUUAAAAAUUGCCAAAAAUUGUUGGUUAUCUUGUAUUUCCCAAGAGCAACUGACAUCACUUUCAAUUAGGUCAACUGAAAAUGAAGUUGCAAAAAGUAUUAAUGGGGAAAUACUAAAUGAAUUUGCAGAAAAGUGAGCCAGAAAAAUCUUAUGAUUAAUCAAAAUAUCAUUAUUAUUCAUUUUAUUAUAGAAAAUUAUGACACCAAAAGUGUUUUCUGCUGAUUUGUAAGUUUGGGUUGUUGUGUCUCACUAGCACCCCUAUUACAUUUCAUGGGUAAUAUUUUUAAAGGAAAAUUUUACAUUUUGGUAAUUUUCAUAUUACAUUUCCCUUGUUUUUUAUCAGGGAGCCCCAUAUUUCCUUUUUUGCCCUGGGCCCUGCAAAUUAUGUAAGUAGCCUGCCAAUAUUAUUUGGGGAAGGAAAAUUUUCAAAGCUGUCAAUAGCAAUUGUGCACAGCAAUCACACAAGAACUUCAGUUUUUCUCCUCUGAAACUUUACUUGUGGACUAACUUUCUAAUAAAUUGAAGCAAUCAUUGUUACUUCAUUGGUUUAGCAUUUUAUUUCUGAAAAAUCAAGGAAAUUUUUUGCAGUUGGCAAUAUUAUUUGGUCAUCGGAAGAGUAGCCAACCUUGUUUGUCCCAUCAAUGUGUUUUUUGCACACAUUCCUGUGAGUUAUUUGCCAGGUGUUGAAGCUCCAUGGAAAAAUAAAUAUAAUUUCUGUUGUAAAUAAUUCAUUUAGAAAGACAAAUGAAAAAUAGUAAAUUAUAAUACAGUACUUUAAGGGUGGCCACAAAAGUAUGCACAGGUGAUUACAGUGGUAUCAGAAAGUAAAAUGUAAUUAACCCAAUGGGAUAGCUGGAAAGGUCCCUGCCAACAUGUUUCAAGAAUGUCUAGGAUGGAAUGAACUUGCAUUCUUAUUGGAAUUCUUUUGUUUGUAUGCGUAAAUGUGGAGCAGAGAGUCUACUGCCUGACAUCAGAUACCCACCAGCCCUGCCACCAGUACAAAUGUUGCUGAAUGGGAUUGGCUCUCUUCCUUCCUUCCCUAGACGUGGCUCAAGAGCCUGUUUCUGCCUAGCCUCAACGUUCUCAUUCCCACAUCUCAGCCUGUCUAUUGGUUUAUAUUUUUUCAAAAUAAUUGGAAUUAAUUUUGUAUUCUGUUUUAAGGGUAAAGGUUAUAUCUAUUUAUUCAUUUAAUAAUAGUAACUGAGUGUUCAGUAAACUCAGAAACCUAGUUUCUUCCCUCAUGGAGCUUAUGUUCUAGUUAUAUAUUUUAUUUUUCAAUCAAUGUGACAAUAGCUGAUUUUUAAAAAUUAGAAUUAUGGAUUUUACUAUAAUAAUAGAACGUAUCUGAGGUUGGGAGCACAGCUCAGUGGUAGAAUAUUAGCAUGUUCAAAGCCCUGAGUUCAAUCUCUAGCACUGUAGGAAAAAAAAAAAAGAAUAAAGAAAAAGAAUCUUUGUAACAGAGCAGCCUUUUAUAGUUAACAAGAUUAUAGCUAGCUUUUCUGAUUUGCAGUUUCAUUAAAGACCAGCUUAUUCCAUUACUUCAUAUAAUUAAAAUGUAGUUUUAAAAAAGCUUGUUCCACUUGAGUUUAGCUAAUUUUACUAUUUUUCAUUAAUUUUACUUAAUAAGCAAAGAAACUUAUAAAUAACUGAAUAUGGAAUGAUUUUAUUUCAGAGUUGAGAAAAUGGGAGAUAGUUCCACAGACACAGAAAAAGAAGAGGAAGAGGAAGAGGAAGAGGAGGAUGAAAAAGUUCAAAAAGACCUCACCUAUGCCAUAGUGCCCACAAUUAACAUUCAAGAUGAGCGGUUCGUGGAUUUGUCUGAAACUCCAGCUUUCAUUUGUCUGAAUGAGGUAU